AGUGGCGAAUGGGGUGUAACACGUGAGUAAUCUGCCUAAAAGUGGGGGAUAGCUCGCCGAAAGGCGAAUUAAUACCGCAUGUGGUUGUGAAACCAAAGCCGGGGCAACCUGGCGCUUUUGGAGGAGCUCGCGGCCUAUCAGCUUGUUGGUGAGGUAACGGCUUACCAAGGCAACGACGGGUAGCUGGUCUGAGAGGACGACCAGCCACACUGGAACUGAGACACGGUCCAGACACCUACGGGUGGCAGCAGUCGAGAAUUUUUCUCAAUGGGGGAAACCCUGAAGGAGCGACGCCGCGUGGAGGAUGAAGGCUUUCGGGUUGUAAACUCCUGUCAUUUGGGAACAAAAUCUUACGUUAACUGCGUGGAGAUUUGAUAGUACCGAAAGAGGAAGAGACGGCUAACUCUGUGCCAGCAGCCGCGGUAAUACAGAGGUCUCAAGCGUUGUUCGGAUUCAUUGGGCGUAAAGGGCGCGUAGGCGGCGGGGUAAGUCGGGUGUGAAAUCUCAGAGCUCAACUCUGAAACUGCACUCGA
rnacentral:rRNA from 1 species